rnacentral:lncRNA from 1 species
AAGGUAAGCUUUGCUCUCCGCGUUCGCGGAGGCGAGUAUAGAUGUCGACCGAUUAAAAGUUAAGUGAAGUUCCAUAAUCGACUGAAGAAUGGCCUAGAUAAGGAUUGUUAGCGGCUGUUUUAACAUCGAAAAAGUGAAGUGGAACUUUUUCCGUGUUUGUUUUUCAAUUUUUCAUAUGAGCAAAGCAACUCGUCAAAACAAACGACCAAUUGACAGGAUACUUUAAUUGUAAAGGUAGUAAAACAAUGAGCUGUAAUUUCAUUUUGUAUUUAAAACAGCUUAGGCCUUACAAGUCGCAUUCAGCGGACUAACACUACAAGGCACGACCACCCACCAUCUCUGCGUCCCUCAGGAUUCAACAAAUCCUGGUUUCAUCGGUCGCCGUUUAUCAAGAACGGUGUGCUCAUUCAUUUAUUCAAACCUGCGACUUCUCAAGAACUUUUUCCCAUAAAAGUUUUUUGUCCGUCUAAUCCGGAACAUAUCAUCGAUGGCCGCUCAGCAGGUCGAAGCAACUGGAGAACAACAUGUUUCGCCGACGUUAGUAAUCAACAAAAACAAAGGUCUAGGAAAUGGGGUUUUCG